rnacentral:rRNA from 1 species
UCGGUAACACACAUGCAAGUCGAACGGUGAAGCAGAGCUUGCUCUGUGGAUCAGUGGCGAACGGGUGAGUAACACGUGAGCAACCUGCCCCUGACUCUGGGAUAAGCGCUGGAAACGGCGUCUAAUACUGGAUACGAGCAACGGCCGCAUGGCCAGUUGUUGGAAAGAUUUUUUGGUUGGGGAUGGGCUCGCGGCCUAUCAGCUUGUUGGUGAGGUAAUGGCUCACCAAGGCGUCGACGGGUAGCCGGCCUGAGAGGGUGACCGGCCACACUGGGACUGAGACACGGCCCAGACUCCUACGGGAGGCAGCAGUGGGGAAUAUUGCACAAUGGGCGGAAGCCUGAUGCAGCAACGCCGCGUGAGGGAUGACGGCCUUCGGGUUGUAAACCUCUUUUAGCAGGGAAGAAGCGAAAGUGACGGUACCUGCAGAAAAAGCGCCGGCUAACUACGUGCCAGCAGCCGCGGUAAUACGUAGGGCGCAAGCGUUAUCCGGAAUUAUUGGGCGUAAAGAGCUCGUAGGCGGUUUGUCGCGUCUGCUGUGAAAUCCCGAGGCUCAACCUCGGGCCUGCAGUGGGUACGGGCAGACUAGAGUGCGGUAGGGGAGAUUGGAAUUCCUGGUGUAGUCGGUGGAAUGCGCAGAUAUCAGGAGGAACACCGAUGGCGAAGGCAGAUCUCUGGGCCGUAACUGACGCUGAGGAGCGAAAGGGUGGGGAGCAAACAGGCUUAGAUACCCUGGUAGUCCACCCCGUAAACGUUGGGAACUAGUUGUGGGGUCCAUUCCACGGAUUCCGUGACGCAGCUAACGCAUUAAGUUCCCCGCCUGGGGAGUACGGCCGCAAGGCUAAAACUCAAAGGAAUUGACGGGGACCCGCACAAGCGGCGGAGCAUGCGGAUUAAUUCGAUGCAACGCGAAGAACCUUACCAAGGCUUGACAUAUACGAGAACGGGCCAGAAAUGGUCAACUCUUUGGACACUCGUAAACAGGUCGUGCAUGGUUGUCGUCAGCUCGUGUCGUGAGAUAUGCUGGGUUAAGUCCCGCAACGAGCGCAACCCUCGUUCUAUGUUGCCAGCACGUAAUGGUGGGAACUCAUGGGAUACUGCCGGGGGCUGCG